rnacentral:rRNA from 1 species
CGUAGGGAAACCGAGUCUUAACUGGGCGAAUGAGUUGCAGGGUAUAGACCCGAAACCCGGUGAUCUAUCCAUGGGCAGGUUGAAGGUUGGGUAACACUAACUGGAGGACCGAACCGACUAAUGUUGAAAAAUUAGCGGAUGACUUGUGGAUGGGGGUGAAAGGCCAAUCAAACCGGGAGAUAGCUGGUUCUCCCCGAAAGCUAUUUAGGUAGCGCCUCGUGAACUCAUCUUCGGGGGUAGAGCACUGUUUCGACUAGGGGGUCAUCCCGACUUACCAACUCGAUGCAAACUGCGAAUACCGAAGAAUGUUAUCACGGGAGACACACGGCGGGUGCUAACGUCCGUCGUGAAGAGGGAAACAACCCAGACCGCCAGCUAAGGUCCCAAAGUCAUGGUUAAGUGGGAAACGAAGUGGGAAGGCUCAGACAGCCAGGAUGUUGGCUUAGAAGCAGCCAUCAUUUAAAGAAAGCGUAAUAGCUCACUGGUCGAGUCGGCCCGCGCGGAAGAUGUAACGGGGCUAAACCAUGCAC